ACCACUAAAUCAUUCAUAGUUCACCUCUAGCCGCAGCGGAAGUGGUCGCAAGGCCUACCAAAGUGCGGGCUUUUGUCCACGGAGCGUCUUGGCGUUUGGAUGACUAACCCCUUCAAACGCAGUUAAAAACACAGGACACAUGAGGUGAUUAUAAUAACGGAGCAAAAAAGCGGGGCGCCGGAGCGGGCAGGGAUUUCUAUUCUUAAAUAACAGCGCUUUUCGUUUUCAACCAGUGCGUUUAGCCUUUUUCAAGUGAAAACGCUCUUCUUGUUCCUUCUUUUUGCGGUGAAUAAUUAAAAUUACUUCACCUUCUGCGAUCUGAUACGCAAAGUGGGCUGUAAUUAAUGAAAACCAUCAUGCCAUCAUCUGCUUUGAGGCGAUCCAUAUCAACUUUGUCUCACCUCUGCGAGCCAAUCAAGCAAACAGAGAAUGAGAUAGUGCAAAUGUUCCAGUUGCCUAGUCCAAAGAAGGAAGCUCAGGACUUGGCUGUUAAGAGGAAGAAACCCUCUGUACGGACAUUGGAUGAGAGGUUCAUAAGAAUUUUGAAAAUAUUUAAGUGGGGUUCUGAUGCAGAGAAGGCAUUGGAAGUGCUCAAGUUGAAGGUGGACCAACGGUUGGUUCGUGAGGUUUUGAUGAUAGAUGUAGAGAUCAAUGUUAAAAUCCAGUUCUUCAAGUGGGCAGGGAAAAGAAGAAACUUUGAACAUGACUCUACCACCUACAUGACUUUAAUUCACUGUUUGGAUGAAGCAGGACUUGUUGGUGAAAUGUGGAAGACUAUCCAAGAGAUGCUUCGAAGUACAUGUGCUAUUGGCCCGGCUGAAUUGUCUGAAAUUGUGAGAAUAUUGGGCAAAGCUAAGAUGGUGAACAAGGCACUCUCCAUUUUUUAUCAGAUUAAAUGUCGCAAGUGCAAGCCAACAUCAAGCACUUACAACAAUAUAAUCUUGAUGUUGAUGCUAGAAGGGCACCAUGAGAAAGUUCAUGAGCUCUAUAAUGAGAUGUGCAAUGAGGGUAACUGUUUACCAGACACAGUGACCUACAGUGCACUGAUAUCUACUUUCAGUAAGUUGGGUCGUCAUGAUUCUGCCAUUAGGUUGUUUGAAGAGAUGAAGGAGAAUGGAUUACAGCCUACGUCAAAGAUUUAUACAACCUUAAUUAAAAUCUAUUUUAAGCUAGGUGAGACUUGGAAAGCUUUAGGUCUAGUUCAGGAGAUGAAAGGAAAGGGCUGUAAGCCAACUGUUUUUACUUACACAGAGUUGAUAAAGGGGCUUGGAAAAGCUGGGAGGGUUCAAGAUGCCUAUGGUAUAUUCAUGAAUAUGUUAAAGGAAGGUGGUAAGCCUGAUGUUGUGCUUAUUAACAAUAUGAUUAACAUCUUGGGCAAAGCAGGUCGAUUGGAAGAUGCUUUUAAGCUUUUCAAUAAAAUGAAGUCUUGGCAGUGUAUACCAAAUGUUGUAACAUAUAACACUGUAAUUAAAGCUUUAUUUGACUCCAAAGCCCCAAGUUCUGAGGCAUCUUUAUGGUUCGAGAAGAUGAAGGCAGAUGGUGUUGUUCCCAGCUCAUUUACUUAUUCAAUUCUUAUUGAUGGUUUCUGCAAGACAAACAAAGUUGAGAAAGCUUUAUUACUCCUGGAAGAGAUGGAUGAAAGGGGUUUUCCUCCUUGUCCAGCUGCAUAUUGUAGCCUGAUCAACAGUCUUGGAAAGGCAAAACGAUAUGAAGCUGCCAAUGAGUUAUUUCAGGAAUUGAAAGAGAAUUGUGGGUGUUCAAGUGCUCGGGUGUAUGCAGUGAUGAUAAAACAUUUUGGAAAGUGCGGCCGUUUGAGUGAUGCUGUAGAUCUUUUCAAUGAGAUGAAGAAACUGGGAUGCAAUCCUGAUGUUUAUGCUUAUAAUGCUCUCAUGUCAGGGAUGGUAAGGGCUGGCAUGAUAAAUGAAGCUCAUUCCUUGCUCAGAACCAUGGAAGAAAACGGUUGUGCUCCAGACUUGAAUUCUCAUAAUAUCAUUCUAAAUGGCUUAGCUAGGACAGGUGGCCCAAGGCGGGCAAUGGAAAUGUUUAUGAAGAUGGAGAAUUCAAAUAUUAAACCUGAUGCAGUAUCUUACAAUACUGUCCUUGGCUGCCUCAGCCGAGCUGGUAUGCUUGAAGAGGCUGCAAAGUUAAUGAAAGAGAUGAAAGCAAGAGGUUUUGAAUAUGAUCUCAUCACUUACUCAUCGAUACUUGAGGCAGUUGGCAAGAUUGAUGAAGAUCGUAGUCUAAGCACUUUCUGAUGGAGUCCUGAUGUUAGGUAAGAUAAAGGCAUCUUUCAUAUUUCUCUCUUACCUUUUUCCAACUAUCGUUUGGUUUUUCUGUCACUUCCAUAUUUUAAAUUAUUCGUUGGACUUUUUUGAAGAAAUGCUAAACCAAAGGAUGCUAUCUGAAUCAUUGAUGCAUAAUGUUCUUAUUACUCAUAUUUUCUGGAUAGCGUUUCUGGUGCAGACAAUCAGUUUGCUAUUAACUGUCUUAUCAUGCAGUGACCAACUUAUUUAUAGAUGAUUCUACCCUUGGCUAACUGCCAUAGCAAGGUCAUUUAGUUCUAAGCUAAGUGGAUUCAAUAUACAAUUAUCAAGCUGCAGUUAUGGGAAUUGGCUAGAUGUAAACCAAGCAAUAUGACUAGAAACCACAGGGGAAGCAGGCAUGGGGCUGAAAUAGGCUUUAGAAUCAGUAAUUCAUAGAGAUUGAAAACCAAAUCAUGUGGGCAAACUCUUCAACCUGUAACUUUAAUUCUCAAAUUAAUCUUGUAACAGUUUUGUCAAAAUAUCUCAAAUGUUAAUCAUCACAAGCUAACUAUUUAGUCUGACAUUUGCAUAUAAUAGCUAGCCUAAGAACAAGAUUAUUCAUUGAAGAUAUGCCUGAUGAAGAGGGUUGGCUUUAACAGACUGAAGGAGCAGACCUGUGCAAACUGAUGAUGCUUUUAUAGGUUCCUCUAGAUCAACUAUUCGACACUUUCCCAUCCUCUUGGUUGAGGCUCCAAAGAAAGUGAAGAGAACAAAUAUCCAAGUUGCAGAGUUAACUUCAGACAUGUAACACGAAGUAGAGUGUGAAAUGGCUCUGCAAAUGAUGGUUAUGGAAGAAUCUAGAAACAGAAAAAAUGCUGUUGUUGAGGGCUGUGGUAAAAUGCUGUCGGGUUAAAACACCUACUUUUCCUUUUUUUCUAAUAUCUUCUUUUAAACUAAUUAUUGCUCUCUAACUCUAGCUAAGUGACAAAUAUUAUAAAUUUGUUACUGCUCUGAUCAAGGAAGCUUUACUGCUAAGCUUCUGGAAGUUGAAUAUCAGCCUUAUGAAGAUGAGAUGAUGAAACGAAGGUUGCUUAUGUUGUCAAGCCUGCCAAGCUUGAGAAGGUAGCUCAUUUUCUUCUGAAUGUUAUAUCACUCCUUUUUGGAGACAAAACUGUAUGACUAUAGAAAUUGCAGAGAUGAGAGGUGUCUUAACUUUUAUAGCAAGGUGAGGUGAUCUUUUCAGCAAACUUUACACGUACACUGAGAUGGUGGAUCUGCCAUUUCACCUUGCUCAUCCUAUUAACAGUUAUGUGGAGGCAAAUAUAUCAGCUGAUCCCAAAUUUGAUCACAUUGUACUGGCUGCAAAGCAGAAAAUAAUGGUCUUUUUGGGUCUCUUUCUUUUGCUGCCUGUAUCUUUUCGUCUCCUGGUCCCUCCUUAUUGCUGGAAAAUAAACCUGUUAUGAGUGUAUGGAAGCUGAGGCCUGGAGGGGAGAGGAAAAAUAGCAGCAGGAUUGCUCCCACUAAUAUCAACUCCAGUUGUCUUGCAAGCUUAUGUGAGACGGCUGAAGCACUUGACAGUGAAUGCAGAAAAACAUGGGUUACAUUUGUUAAAAAACAUAUACAUCAUGCAGAGAAUAGAGCUGUAAAAGUAGGAGUAAAGGAGAUAAAAGGAGAAAAUUAGAAAUUAUCUUAUUAUUUGAAAGAGAGGAUAUUGAGGAUUCAAAGUUAACAAAUUUUGUUUGAUCAUAUUUCUAUGCCAGUUUUGACGA